rnacentral:rRNA from 1 species
CCUANGGGGGGCAGCAGUGAGGAAUUUUGCGCAAUGGGGGAAACCCUGACGCAGCAACGCCGCGUGAGUGAUGAAGGCCUUCGGGUCGUAAAACUCUGUCAAGUGGGAAGAACUUGCAUAAAAGCAACACAUUUAUGCACUGACGGUACCACUGAAGGAAGCACCGGCUAACUCCGUGCCAGCAGCCGCGGUAAUACGGGGGGUGCAAGCGUUAUUCGGAAUUAUUGGGCGUAAAGAGCGCGUAGGCGGUUUUUUAAGUCAGAUGUGAAAGCCCGGGGCUCAACCUCGGAAGUGCAUUUGAAACUAAGAAACUUGAGUAUGGGAGAGGGAAGUGGAAUUCCUGGUGUAGAGGUGAAAUUCGUAGAUAUCAGGAGGAACACCGGUGGCGAAGGCGACUUCCUGGACCAAUACUGACGCUGAGGCGCGAAGGCGUGGGGAGCAAACAGGAUUAGAUACCCUUNUANUC